ACAAAGCGUUGGACCCUUUCAUAAUGGUCUACACACCCUGAUUUAUGAAUAUGUCUUAAUAUUGGAGACGCCUACGAUCCAAACACCGGAAUUUUUACAGCACCUGUGAGGGGUGCGUAUGCUUUCAGGGUCUUCUCCAAGGCCUUUGGAAGUCCAGAGAGCACCGUUACUGCAGGCCUGUUUAAAAACGACCAGCACAUCAUUUCUACACAUGGACAGCAAGCAAGCGGUUUUAUCAGCUCCUCAAAUGGAGUGUCUCUGCUGCUAGAAGAAGGGGAUCAAAUGAAGGUGAAGCUCUAUCCUGGAUGGAUUUUCGACGAUGGAGAACAUCAUCACAGCACAUUCAGUGGACAUCUGCUUUUCCCCAUAUGAGCUUGCAGACCACUAAAAAAAUCAAAAGCA